rnacentral:rRNA from 15 species
UCAGAGGUGAAAUUCUUGGAUUUGCUGAAGACUAACUACUGCGAAAGCAUUUGCCAAGGAUGUUUUCAUUGAUCAAGAACGAAGGAAGGGGGAUCGAAAACGAUUAGAUACCGUUGUAGUCUCUUCUGUAAACUAUGCCAAUUGGGGAUCGGUACAGGAUUUUUAAUGACUGUAUCGGCACCCGAAGAGAAAUCUUUAAAUGAGGUUCGGGGGGGAGUAUGGUCGCAAGGCUGUAACUUAAAGAAAUUGACGGAAGG